UACGAAGGGGGCUAGCGUUGCUCGGAAUCACUGGGCGUAAAGCGCACGUAGGCGGCUUGUUAAGUCAGGGGUGAAAUCCCGAGGCUCAACCUCGGAACUGCCUUUGAUACUGGGGAUCUCGAGUCCGGGAGAGGUGAGUGGAACUGCGAGUGUAGAGGUGAAAUUCGUAGAUAUUGGAGGAACACCAGUGGCGAAGGCGGCUCACUGGCUCGGUACUGACGCUGAGGUGCGAAAGCGUGGGGAGCAAACAGG
rnacentral:rRNA from 1 species